AUGUGUGUCCCAAAAAAUCAAGGAGGUAUGGGCUUCAGAGAUAUACACUAUUUCAACCUAGCAUUGUUAGCUAAACAAGCGUGACGUCUUGUAGAUAAUCCUGAUUCUUUAUGUGCUACUUUGAGAGCUAAGUAUUUCCCUUAUGGUGAUUUGGUGAAUGCAACUUUAAAAAAGGAUGCGCCCUUACUUGGAAAAGUAUUAUGGCAGGAGUCAACUCUCUGA
rnacentral:rRNA from 1 species